GACGAACGCUGGCGGCGUGCUUAACACAUGCAAGUCGAGCGGAAAGGCCCUUUCGGGGGUACUCGAGCGGCGAACGGGUGAGUAACACGUGAGUAAUCUGCCCCUGGCUUUGGGAUAGCCACCGGAAACGGUGAUUAAUACCGGAUACGACAACUUCUCGCAUGGGAUGGUGGUGGAAAGUUUUUCGGCCAGGGAUGUGCUCGAGGCCUAUCAGCUUGAUGGUGAGGUAAUGGCUCACCAUGGCUUCGACGGGUAGCCGGCCUGAGAGGGUGACCGGUCACACUGGGACUGAGACACGGCCCAGACUCCUGCGGGAGGCAGCAGUGGGGAAUAUUGGACAAUGGGCGGAAGCCUGAUCCAGCAACGCCGCGUGAGGGAUGACGGCCUUCGGGUUGUAAACCUCUUUCAGCAGGGACGAAGCGCAAGUGACGGUACCUGCAGAAGAAGCACCGGCCAACUACGUGCCAGCAGCCGCGGUAA
rnacentral:rRNA from 1 species